rnacentral:rRNA from 1 species
AUACCCUAUUAUUUUUAUCGUAAAUAACAAAACCUAAGUAUUAGUAGCUAUGGUCUUGAAACUUAAAGAAUUUGGCGGUAUUAUAGUCUGUUUAGAGGAAUCUGUUGCGUAAUCGAUAAUCCGCGUUGAAUCUUACUUACGUUAUUUCUUGUAUACCGCUGUUUAUGAAUAUACUUUCAGGUAAAUUUUCUGGAUAAAUCAGUAAUUAUUAUUUCAAGUCAAGGUGCAGUAAUAUUUAAGUUGGACAAUGGAUUACAAUAAAUUUUAUUUAAUACGGAAGGUAGAAUUUUAAUGUGACUUGAAGGUGGAUUUAAUUGUAAUUUUUUGAAGAUUGUGAAAUUGAUUUAUAGCUCUAUAAUAUGCACACAUCGCCC